CGUAGCAAUACGUCAGCGGCAGACGGGUGAGUAACGCGUGGGAACAUACCUUUUGGUUCGGAACAACCCAGGGAAACUUGGGCUAAUACCGGAUAAGCCCUUACGGGGAAAGAUUUAUCGCCGAAAGAUUGGCCCGCGUCUGAUUAGCUAGUUGGUGAGGUAAUGGCUCACCAAGGCGACGAUCAGUAGCUGGUCUGAGAGGAUGAUCAGCCACAUUGGGACUGAGACACGGCCCAAACUCCUACGGGAGGCAGCAGUGGGGAAUAUUGGACAAUGGGCGCAAGCCUGAUCCAGCCAUGCCGCGUGAGUGAUGAAGGCCCUAGGGUUGUAAAGCUCUUUUGUGCGGGAAGAUAAUGACGGUACCGCAAGAAUAAGCCCCGGCUAACUUCGUGCCAGCAGCCGCGGUAAUACGAAGGGGGCUAGCGUUGCUCGGAAUCACUGGGCGUAAAGGGUGCGUAGGCGGGUCUUUAAGUCAGGGGUGAAAUCCUGGAGCUCAACUCCAGAACUGCCUUUGAUACUGAAGAUCUUGAGUUCGGGAGAGGUGAGUGGAACUGCGAGUGUAGAGGUGAAAUUCGUAGAUAUUCGCAAGAACACCAGUGGCGAAGGCGGCUCACUGGCCCGAUACUGACGCUGAGC
rnacentral:rRNA from 1 species